GUGAGAAGGGACAGUAGUCAGAUUAGUGAGCUGCUGCACUAACCCAAGAAAAGAGUAAGUAUGUAUAGGCAUAUAUGUGGAAAUCUACUGUCUUAAGGGGGCCUGUUCUUCUCCAAGGUUGUUCGGAUUAGUUCUCUCUUAAACAGCUGGGGCAAGGAAUUUGGAGAUACGCCAGAGGCUGGGACGGGCUGGGAGCUGGGCAGCUUAAUCAACCUUAAUGUCCAUUUUUUUCUUCAGGUGAGAGAGUUCUUUGUUUUGCAUAGAAUGGUGGGGAAGCCGGGAGGGUAUUUUGAGCCGUGUCACUUUCCUUCAAGGACUACCCUCCAUUGUGGUGCCCUAGGUUCUCAUUGCUUCUCUAGUUGAGGAGCACAGGGCUCUAGGUGCAUCCGCUCAGUUGUUCGGAGGCAAGUGAAAUCUUCCCAGGUCAGGGAUCAAACCUGUGUCCCCUGCACUGGCAGGCAAAUUCCUAGCCCCUGUACCAGGAGGGAAGUCCCAAGCGCAGCCUUGAGGCCAUACAGUUUCAGUCUGAAGACUGAAAAUAUUUUCAGACAUCAUUCUGUGUUGGAUCUGGAUUGGAAGAAUGAACCAAGACUUUGAAUCUUACUUCCUCCAUUUUGAUACAGGCCUCCUCAGAGUUUGCCGGUCAAGAGGCUAAGGGGUAGGACUAUAGUGAUGAUUGCUAAGGGAAGUGGACCUUAUUGAUCUUUCAGAAGUCACAUCUUUAAAAACUACUGGUGCUGAGGAGAGGAAACCGCAUCCUCAUCUGGCAGAGCUCCCAGAGGAUGUGAUCCUCUUGCCUUUUUGCUUUUGUUCUGCAGAAAGCCGCCUUUUUAAGGUACCCAUUAGGCUUUCACUCUUUGAUCUAUUUUGUUCUACCUUUUUCAUCUUCCCUGUUGCUAUCCCAGCUGGCCAUGUCUUUACCAUAGCAGCUACCAAAUAAGGAAUCAUGUUUUCCAAACUCACUGGCUAGUGAUGGUUGCUGUGCUACCAUGAAAUCAGUUUCAUCCUUUUAUUCAGGUUCAACGAUUUCUGGAAAGUUUUAAAACAAAGUUUCUUCGUUAUGACUGGUUAGCUAAUCCGGGAGGUGGAGGCCAAUCUCUCUCUGGAACAGUAUCCACAAACAUCUGAUGAACCUGCGGUGGUACAUCUGUGUAUUCUUACAGCUUCAUUGAACCGUUUGGCGGCGGUGGCCAGAGCGUGUCUCAGGCUCCCUCACUGAUUGCUGGCGCAACUGCUGCGAAAUAUGUAUUUGUUUCAAGCCGCUAAAUUGGUGGUAAUUUGCAAGACAGUAACAGAAAACUAAUACACCAUUAGCGGUGUUAUUAGGGUGGCAAAGUUUGGGAUUGCGGUGGAAGAAGCAUCUGGUUUGUUUUAGAUGAUUCUGAAUUUUGAAUUGCUACCCAUAAAAGGGAGAAAACAUAACAAAACACUAAACAGAAAUCGGUGUGAAAGAGAACACACAAAAGCACCCCCUUCAACGCCUAGAUCAGGCCUUCUUGGUCACCCUUCUCCAGCCUGAAGUGACUGUUCCCUCCUCAGAUAUUUACAGACACUGAUGUAUUUUAUCACCUUUAUAAUGCUCUUCUUUUUUAUGCUCUAGAGGCUGUCUGUGUCUAACUAACUGGGUUUCAAUUUCCUUGAGGGCAAAGAUCUUCUCUUGUUGAUUUUUCCAUCUCCCACAGUGCCUUGCACAGACUCUAGUAA
ensembl:lncRNA